rnacentral:lncRNA from 1 species
AUCUCCAUUGUUCCUGCCAGCUCUGGACCCCAGGCUGCAUGAGACGUAGGUCCCAGGGGACACCCGACCCCGUGGCCCCAGUCUUAGGUAAACUUAGGAAUCAGAACAACACUCACCCCUAUGCCGCGCUUGCUCCAUUUCCCCUUGUCUAUUUCUGCUCACCAAGCAUCCAGCUGACAUUGCAUUCAAAGCAGCAUUUCAGCUUAGAAAUCGCUUCUAGUCCAUCACGGUGCUUGCCAUGUGUCUCCAAGGCUUUAUUAGGUGUGUUUUUAGUUGUCCUGAUAAUCAGUUCACCCCAGGGUGCUGAUGGCUGAUAAUACUGGCGCUUCCCUCCCUACCCCCAUGCGUUGCACAGGGAGGGUGAGUCAUGUGGAGAUGGAUGCAGCCCCCUGGGCAGUGGGGGUGCAGGUGCUGUGCAGGGAGGAGUCUUAGGGCGUUUUUACUGUCUUACUGCCCUCUAAGCACGGGACCCUUUGGAUCAUUUACUAGAUUGGCUAAACUAGAACCGGAUGGAAAUAUUCUGUACUAUGGUCCCCUUAAUUACAUUUAAGAAUACUUGUCAGGCCAUAUAUCACAGGUUUUUAAUUAGAAAAGUAUCCUCCUCUCGCCAGUAAGGACUUGCAGAGAUGGGGGUGGGGGCUGGAUGGAGGGUGGCACUUUUUUGGCAAAAAGAAGUUUGGAGCAGAGUGUCACUAGUGGCCUCUCUGAAGACUGGUCCUCGUCUUUUAAAACCGAUGGCUGGAAUUUCUUCCAGUUCCAAACCUCUUGUUAUUUGUCCUCUCUUCUUGUUCACAAAUGUGCUAUCAACAUUCAAACAAUGGAUAGUCAGCUAUCCAUUGUAAAUGGACCUUGCUGGAGUCCAGGGCUAGCAGAAAUGACAGGGUCUAAAAUGACAUUUAUCAAGUACUUGCUAUAUGCUUAUAUAUGCUUUUUAUAUGAAGGUUAAGAAGCUUGAGGCAUUUGCCCAGUUUCCACAACCAAAAGGGGCAGAGUCGCCAGUGGCAUUAAGCCUGUGUUACUCCAAAGCCCAUAAUGACCAGUCUUACUAGACCAUUCCUCUCAGGAAAGAUCCUGUGAGACAGGUACUCUUUUGGUGUCCUGUCUCCCAGCCUCUCAAAACAGCCAAACACGGACCUUAGACAGAAUGCGGCUUCAGAGGUAGAAGGGUCUUGGUUUCACCUUCAGGAAACCUCCUGGGUUUCAGUUGAGCUGGCAGAAGAAGAUCAUGUAUCUGAAAGACCCUGCAUGGAAUGUUAAUCCUCACACCACUCUCCUGCUGGUGCUCCUUUGUAAACAGAGUUGGCCUGUUUCCUCUCAUCUCUGGCUCCAUGACUUCAAUCCUCCUGCAGCUUCCACUGCCCCUAUCUGGCUCAUGUCUUGCUGUCUGGUGUCAUGAACUGGGAGUGCAGUAAAGAGGAGUGACAAGCCUGAGGGGCCACGUUCAUACCUGCCACUGCCAACUGUCCUGAUGUAACUGCUUUGUCAUCUUGCCUGCCAGGAUUUGUGACAAGGUAAUAGCAGUCAGAUGCAGGAGUGGUCUAUAGCCCUGGAUUAUGUUCGAACUCCACUUUCCAUGAUUCUACUGCUGGGCUUGUGAAUUGCCACUCCCACCACCAGGCGGUCUUUACUGUCCUUUCCACCUUCUAAAUCAGCGCUGUGUUGGGCUGUACCCUUGCCUUUUCCCCUUCUAUUAUGUAACACAUGGACAAGACCAAUGACAAUUUUCUUGGUGAAUCAGAAGGAAAGAAAAGAAGAGAAGGAGAGAGUAUAGAUGGAAUGCCUUCUUAUGAAAAAAAGGAGAAAUACAAUUUGGGGAGAUUUGUUGAAUAAGUUGAAACCAAAGAGAUAUAGAAUGCUGAAAAGCCUUGAAGGAGAUUUAAUUUGAGCUAUAGGCCUUGUCAAGAUGGACAGAACUCUUUAAAGAAGAGAAUAUUUAUUAACAUUUAGUAGACACUUAGGAGAAAAAAUAUGUCUCCUUAUUAGAUGAAAAAGGAAUUCUGAUUAUGUGAAAUAUUUUUGGAGAGUUCCUAAGUUACGUGCCAUUUUGACACCAAUGCUGGGGUUUAUGGGUCAUGAACUAUGUAAAAUGAGCACACAUGACCUCUUGGAAUUAAACGGUUCCCGUGAGACUGUGCUUGCAGCCUGUAUCCCUGUACCAUGCAGUAAAAAAGAUGUGCUUGCCCAGAUGGGGGGAGCAGGAAGAACCUGAUGAAAGAGAGCACCACGUGUGACAAGUGAGAGGAGACCCUGCUGAGCUCAAACAUAUUUCAUGAGCCU